AAAAAAGCAAAUCAUGGGUUUCCGUGUCCAAUUUUAACUGUUCGUGUUAUAUGAAAUUUUUUUAUAAUUCGUAUUUUCAUUGUUGCUAGAUGAUAAAACAUGAUUAAUAUUUUAUGCGUGACUUGUCUUUUUAAUUUUUUUCGUAAUUUUUUCAAAUAAGACGAACGGUUAAAUAUUGGGCACGGAAACCAGGGUUUGUCUUUUU
rfam:Oryza rufipogon genomic scaffold, chr01